AUUGAACGCUGGCGGCAGGCCUAACACAUGCAAGUCGCGCGAGCGGCGGACGGGUGAGUAAUGUAUGGGAAUCUGCCUGAUGGAGGGGGAUAACUACUGGAAACGGUAGCUAAUACCGCAUACCAUCAGAUGUGCCCAGAUGGGAUUAGCUAGUAGGUUGGGUAAUGGCUAACCUAGGCGACGAUCCCUAGCUGGUCUGAGAGGAUGAUCAGCCACACUGGAACUGGGAACAGGCCCAGACUCCUACGGGAGGCAGCAGUGGGGAAUAUUGCACAAUGGGCGCAAGCCUGAUGCAGCCAUGCCGCGUGUGUGAAGAAGGCCUUAGGGUUGUAAAGCACUUUCAGCCGGGAGGCGUUACCCGCAGAAGAAGCACCGGCUAACUCCGUGCCAGCCGCCGCGGUAAUUC
rnacentral:rRNA from 1 species